GAUGAACGCUGGCGGUAUGCUUAACACAUGCCAGUCGAACGGACUCUUCGGAGUUAGUGGCGGACGGGUGAGUAACGCGUGAGAAUCUGGCUUUGGGUUCGGGACAACCACUGGAAACGGUGGCUAAUACCGGAUGUGCCGAGAGGUAAAAGAGAAAUUGCCUGAAGAUGAGCUCGCGUCUGAUUAGCUAGUUGGUGAGGUAAAGGCUCACCAAGGCAGCGAUCAGUAGCUGGUCUGAGAGGAUGACCAGCCACACUGGGACUGAGACACGGCCCAGACUCCUACGGGAGGCAGCAGUGGGGAAUUUUCCGAAAUGGGCGAAAGCCUGACGGAGCAAUACCGCGUGAGGGAAGAAGGCUCUUGGGUUGUAAACCUCUUUUCUUAGGGAAGAACAAAAUGACGGUACCUAAGGAAUCAGCAUCGGCUAACUCCGUG
rnacentral:rRNA from 1 species